CCAUCCAAACGAAGAAUCCUACCACGAAUUGAUCUAUCAAGUGAUUGAAC
rnacentral:tRNA from 1 species